CCUACGGGCGGCAGCAGUGAGGAAUAUUGGUCAAUGGACGAGAGUCUGAACCAGCCAAGUAGCGUGAAGGAUGACUGCCCUAUGGGUUGUAAACUUCUUUUAUAUGGGAAUAAAACGUUCCACGUGUGGGAUUUUGUAUGUACCAUAUGAAUAAGGAUCGGCUAACUCCGUGCCAGCAGCCGCGGUAAUACGGAGGAUCCGAGCGUUAUCCGGAUUUAUUGGGUUUAAAGGGAGCGUAGGUGGAUUGUUAAGUCAGUUGUGAAAGUUUGCGGCUCAACCGUAAAAUUGCAGUUGAAACUGGCAGUCUUGAGUACAGUAGAGGUAGGCGGAAUGCGUGGUGUAGCGGUGAAAUGCUUAGAUAUCACGAAGAACUCCGAUUGCGAAGGCAGUUCACUGGACUGCAACUGACACUGAGGCUCGAAAGUGUGGGUAUCAAACAGGAUUAGAUACCCCAGUAGUC
rnacentral:rRNA from 1 species